AUUUUGACAAUGUGUCCGUCCUAGAUUAUAAAUGUAAUCAACUCAAAAGAAAUAUCAGCGAAAUGAUAUAUAUAAAAUUGAAUAAUACAGUGAACAAUAGGACGGACACACAAAAUUUGAGUUUGGUUUAUAAUAAUAUUUUAGAACUUUAUAAAACCGUGAUUACCUGACGAUAUUUUGUAAUCCGUUUAUCUACGACAGGUUGUCAUAGUUCUUGCGCUGGUCCCAUGUGGAAAUUUAUUUUCAUUCCGAGGUCGUCAUAAUAUGUGAAACAAGGUGUCUUCAAUCUAAGAAUUGUCUGAGCUGAACUCUCGAAUUUCCAAUGCAUCACUGGCUGUUCGUGAAAAAUAUCAAUAUCUUGUGGAAAACAUGAUUAUGGCUCUGCCCUGAAGAAGCAAAUAUAUUUUGCGAAACGUUGGCACUUA